UACGAAGGGGGCUAGCGUUGCUCGGCAUCACUGGGCGUAAAGGGUGCGUAGGCGGGUCUUUAAGUCAGGGGUGAAAUCCUGGAGCUCAACUCCAGAACUGCCUUUGAUACUGAAGAUCUUGAGUUCGGGAGAGGUGAGUGGAACUGCGAGUGUAGAGGUGAAAUUCGUAGAUAUUCGCAAGAACACCAGUGGCGAAGGCGGCUCACUGGCCCGAUACUGACGCUGAGACGCGAAAGCUAGGGGAGCAAACAGG
rnacentral:rRNA from 1 species